AUGGCGUGAAGAGGCUGGCUAUAUGCCAGUGGUCGUGGACUUGGAGCAUAUCCAGAGACAUUAGUUCCAGGUAUCCAAGAUGGUGGCCUGUUGCAGCAAGAGAUGCUGUCAGAUCUGCUCACUUUCUCCAGCCCUUUCUUUUUUAUUUCUUCUUCAAUGCUAAUCAUCUUCUCCAAACAAAAGAUAUUCCAAUGGAUAGUCAAAUGGGUCGAAGCCAUGCCUGCACUUCUGUGAGGUGCUGCCAGAUCUGCACAGUUUCUACACCAUUCUCAUUGUAUCUCUCAGAUUUCCAGCAUCUGCAGUAUUUUGCCUUUAUUCAAAAG